ensembl:snoRNA
UGUGGUGGAAGGUCUGUGCACCCAGGAGACUUCUGGUGGGAUGUUCAAAAAGUAGUGCUACACCAGUGCAGCAUUUGGUGUCCUUGGUUUUCAAUCUGCUCUGUCUGUUAAACCUAGUAUUUUUGCUGAAACAGUC